AAGGUUAGGUAAUCGCGGUCAACUUCUGUUGACUGAGGAAAGUCCAUGCUCGCACAAUGCUGAAAUGCUUGUAGUGAUCGUGCUUAGCGAAACAAUAAGCUAAGGUAACUUCACCGUUAACGGCGGGAAAAACUUCUAAGGCUACAGCUAUGAAGGAGUAUCCCAUAACGUGCCACAGAGACGAUUUUUUGCAGAAAUGCAAAAACUGGAACGCUGGUAAACCCCUCGAGCGAGCAACCCAAAUUUGGUAGGGGCACUUCUUGAAAGGAACGACCUUUGCGUCGGGUAACGGACAAGAAGGCAUGUAAAUGCAGAUAGAUGAUUACCCCAUCAUCGAUGGUACCUAUCAAUCGAUGAUGACAGAACAUGGCUUAUCGAU
rfam:Facklamia hominis CCTG 36813 genomic scaffold supercont1.1, whole genome shotgun sequence.